rnacentral:rRNA from 1 species
GACGAACGCUGGCGGCGCGCCUAACACAUGCAAGUCGAACGAGCGAGAGAGAGCUUGCUUUCUCAAGCGAGUGGCGAACGGGUGAGUAACGCGUGAGGAACCUGCCUCAAAGAGGGGGACAACAGUUGGAAACGACUGCUAAUACCGCAUAAGCCCACGACCCGGCAUCGGGUAGAGGGAAAAGGAGCAAUCCGCUUUGAGAUGGCCCCGCGUCCGAUUAGCUAGUUGGUGAGGUAACGGCCCACCAAGGCGACGAUCGGUAGCCGGACUGAGAGGUUGAACGGCCACAUUGGGACUGAGACACGGCCCAGACUCCUACGGGAGGCAGCAGUGGGGAAUAUUGCACAAUGGGGGAAACCCUGAUGCAGCGACGCCGCGUGGAGGAAGAAGGUCUUCGGAUUGUAAACUCCUGUUGUAGAGGAAGAUAAUGACGGUACUCAACAAGGAAGUGACGGCUAACUACGUG